AUUGAACGCUGGCGGCAGGCCUAACACAUGCAAGUCGAGCGGAUGAAGGGAGCUUGCUCCUGGAUUCAGCGGCGGACGGGUGAGUAAUGCCUAGGAAUCUGCCUGGUAGUGGGGGAUAACGUCCGUAAACGGGCGCUAAUACCGCAUACGUCCUGAGGGAGAAAGUGGGGGAUCUUCGGACCUCACGCUAUCAGAUGAGCCUAGGUCGGAUUAGCUAGUUGGUGGGGUAAAGGCCUACCAAGGCGACGAUCCGUAACUGGUCUGAGAGGAUGAUCAGUCACACUGGAACUGAGGCACGGUCCAGACUCCUACGGGAGGCAGCAGUGGGGAAUAUUGGACAAUGGGCGAAAGCCUGAUCCAGCCAUGCCGCGUGUGUGAAGAAGGUCUUCGGAUUGUAAAGCACUUUAAGUUGGGAGGAAGGGCAGUAAGUUAAUACCUUGCUGUUUUGACGGUACCAAAAGAAUAAGCACCGGCUAACUUCGUG
rnacentral:rRNA from 1 species